CAGCAGCCGCGGUAAUACAGAGGAUGCAAGCGUUGUCCGGAAUUAUUGGGCGUAAAGGGCUCGCAGGCGGUUUCUUAAGUCUGAUGUGAAAGCCCCCGGCUCAACCGGGGAGGGUCACUGGAAACUGGGAAACUUGAGUGCAGAAGAGGAGAGUGGAAUUCCACGUGUAGCGGUGAAAUGCGUAGAGAUGUGGAGGAACACCAGUGGCGAAGGCGACUCUCUGGUCUGUAACUGACGCUGAGGAGCGAAAGCGUGGGGAGCGAACAGGAUUAGAUACCCGUGUAGUCCCUGUCUCUUAUAC
rnacentral:rRNA from 1 species